rnacentral:rRNA from 1 species
AAUAUUUCGCAAUGGAGGGAACUCUGACGCAGCGACGCCGCGUGAGCGAUGAAGGNCUNNGGAUCNUNAAGCUCUGUCCUUGGNNNNNAAGGUCUUCGUACUUGACGGUACCUAUGGGGGCAGCCCCGGCUAACUACGUGCCAGCAGCCGCGGUAAUACGUAGGGGGCAAGCGUUGUCCGGAAUUAUUGGGCGUAAAGGGUGUGUAGGCGGCCUUUUAAGACAGAUGUGAAAGCCCACGGCUUAACCGUGGGACUGCAUUUGAAACUGGAGGGCUUGAGUAUCGGAGAGGGUAGUGGAAUUCCCAGUGUAGCGGUGGAAUGCGUAGAUAUUGGAAGGAACACCAGUGGCGAAGGCGACUACCUGGACGAAAACUGACGCUGAGGCACGAAAGCUAGGGGAGCAAACA